rnacentral:rRNA from 1 species
UACGAAGGGGGCGAGCGUUGUUCGGAAUCACUGGGCGUAAAGGGCGCGUAGGCGGCCCUCUUAGUCGCGUGUGAAAGCCCCGGGCUCAACCUGGGAACGGCGCGCGAAACGGGAGGGCUGGAGUUCGGGAGAGGAGAGUGGAAUUCGUAGAUAUCAAGCGGAACACCGGUGGCGAAGGCGGCCUUCUGGACGAUGACUGACGCUGAGACGCGAAAGCGUGGGGAGCAAACAGG